rnacentral:tRNA from 1 species
UUAAUUGAAACUAAAAAUUAGUAUAUUAUUGUUAAUAAUACUUAUGAAAAAUAAAAAUUUCCAAUUAAA